GAGGUGAAGAUCCAGAUGCAGGAAAGCCUGACCUUGCUGAGGAAGCCCUGCCUCUCCCACUCCACCUGAAGCUAAGAAUGCUGCACAGCCUUGGGAAGGUUUGAGCCUGGUUGCUCUCAGUUCUUCCCAGCGUGGAUGCGUUCCUGCCUUUCCCAGCCUGCAGGAGUCAGAGGGCGCUGUGCAAGCACACUGAGUCAAGGCCCAGUGGUGAUGGUGGCAGCAGUGGUUGGCCAUGGAUGAGGCUGGUGGCCCUGAGGAAGACUGCUGGGGAGUCCAGCAAGCAAGCAUUGCAUGCCACAUUCUCUCAGCCACUUCUUCAGUAGAGUUUUCUGGGUCCUGAUCUGUACAGAGGGACAGGCAAUGGGCAG